GUAAACUCAAGCUCUGCUUGGUGUUGGGUGGUUGUCUCGCCUCUGCGUGUAGACUCGCCUCAAAACAAUUGUCAGCCGGCGUAUUGAUUUCGGAGCGCAGUACAUCUCGCGCUUUGCACUCAUAACGACGACGUCCAAAAGUACAUUUUUACAC
rnacentral:misc_RNA from 1 species